CACUUAAGCUCUUACUCAAGACACCUAUUUUGAAGCAUUGCAGUGAAUAAUAUAUGCAUGAAGAUUACUCACCUUUCUCCUUGUUUCCCUUUACUUACCAUGGCUAGGAUUUGUUUUCCUCAAGAGGGACCAUGCACAUUAUAUGUUAAGACUUUUUCUAGCUUUUGGUGUGACUUGCCCUUACCUUGAAGUACUUUAUUCAGGCUUUUGCACUUUAGAUCUUGCAUGGAAAGGUCACCAAUCUAUUUUUGAUGUACUUUUAGAUAUUUCAGUUGGUCACCUAUCCAAGUGGCUACUAGCCUUGUUCAUAGUCUUUUGACCAUUGGAACAGUUUUCUCUUUUCUCUUUUCUCUUUUUUUUUUUUUUCUUUGUGCUUUUGAGGGCUUUGCCUUUGCUGAAUUUUCUUUCUCUCAAUGAUUUGGGCAAAUCAACACCUAUUGCUAAAGCAAGUCAUGUUAGGUUCAUUCACACAAUUUAAUUUUGUCCACUUCAAUCGAGGGUCAUCAGUAUAUUUUUCACCAUUGGCAAGCUCCAAGAUUCAAUUCAAAAGGCAAUUCUCAAACAUGAAUAUAACUCACUGCAAUUGAUUCAACAUAAGUUUAAAGAGUAUCACAUCAAUGGGGUCAUGGCAAGAAAA
rnacentral:lncRNA from 1 species